rnacentral:rRNA from 1 species
CCUACGGGAGGCAGCAGUGGGGGAUAUUGCACAAUGGGGGGAACCCUGAUGCAGCGACGCCGCGUGGGUGAAGGAGUGCUUCGGCAUGUAAAGCCCUAUCGGCAGGGAAGAAGCAAGACGGUACCUGACUAAGAAGCCCCGGCUAACGACGUGCCAGCAGCCGCGGUAAUACGUAGGGGGCGAGCGUUAUCCGGAUUCAUUGGGUGGAAAGGGAGCGUAGGCGGCGAAGCAAGCCAGGGGUGAAAGCCCGGGGCCCAACCCCGGGACUGCCCUUGAAACUGCAUGGCUGGAGUGCGGGAGGGGCAAGCGGAAUUCCUGGUGUAGCGGUGAAAUGCGUAGAUAUCAGGAGGAACACCAGCGGCGAAGGCGGCCUGCUGGAUCGCGACUGACGUUGAGGCUCGAAAGCGUGGGGAGCGAACAGGAUUAGAUACCCGGGUAGUC